ACAACUUGCACAGCAAGUUGUCUUAUUUUUUUUUUACUCUUUCUUCUUUCCUUUUUUCUUUCUUCUUAUUUUCUUCCUCCUCACUUCUCUCUUCUUCCGCCCAAGACAUGAUCACAGAGAGAGCAGAGAGAGAGUUUGAGAGAGAGAUCGGGAGAGAGGAAGAGUUAAGAGAUCGGGAGAAGGAGAGGGAGCCAGAGAUGGAGUCGGACCCGGAACCCAGGGGACCCGAUCCUCUGUGGGCGGUGGCCAUAACCGAAAUCCGGCGAGGCAGGAAGAGGUCUGGUGAGUCGUGAAACCAGAGGAGGCCGAUCCUCCAUGUGUCAUCGGAGGCGCAAUUUCUGGCGAUUCCGGUGAACCCGUGACUGAGUGACCCGUUGAAUUCGAGAGACCCAGUCCUCCGUGGCGAUUCCCGGCGACCAGAAACCGAAAUCCAGCGAUUGAGGAGCUCCAACGGAACCCAGGAGCUUGGACCAGCGACCCGUGAGCCUAGAAAACCCGAGAGACCCGAGAACCCGUGACCCGUGAAACCCGACCCUCUAGGAACAGUUUUUCCGGCGGAAUCAGUGGCGAAUUCCGGUGGAUUUGCUAUGAAAAUCCUUGGGAUGACCCAGUAAGACGAAGUCAUUUCCUUGUAAAGGCGUAGACCUCGUUAAGAGCAAUAGAUCGUUGUGAACUGGCCAAACCUUAAAUUUGUAUAGUAUGUUCCUUUUGGAGUUCAUGGCUUUGUAAAGAAUUAUUAAUAGACAGAAAUUAUAAAAUAGGAAGUUAGAACUUAAAUAUUGUAAAUGCACGCUUCCAUUUAAAUAUUUUUUUUUGUUUAA